CUGUGGCCGAGCGGUUAAGGCGGUCGACUAGAAAUCGACUCUCAUUUUGAGGCGUAGGUUCGAGUCCUGCCAGUG
rnacentral:ncRNA from 9 species